UAUUUAAACGUGCAUGUAUGUGUGUGUGUGUGAACCUAGAACAGUUUAUUCACAAAGCUAGCAUUUUAAACUAGAUUGUCACUAGUGGACUGUCACAAUAUUACCACCAUGUCGUUGUUUAAUUGUUGUCGGAGAAAAGAUCCAGAAAUCGCUCCAUUGCCUCCAAUUGUGAAGCGAAACCAUUCCUACUGCGAAGUUGAUGUCAGCAAAAUGGAGCUGGACCCAACAAGCAGGGCAAAGCGGAAACGAAGGAUGAGGUAGGCGAAGACCACAAGAAGAGUAACAAUCCAGUCCAGGUGACCCAAUAGCAAAGGGAGCAGGUCAACACACAUUGGAGAGGUGGCAGUGAGCUGUGGUCACUUGACCAACAUCACCAUCAUCAUCAUUUGGCACCAUGUAAACUCAUCCGAUAUCAUUGUAUUGUUAUAGUAAAAGUCAUAGCCACACACACACACACACA